GGGGAGUCUACCUGGCAGUUCGACGGAACAUAUUUGAAACCAAGUGAUGUAUGAAGUUAGUGGCGGACGGGUGAGUAACGCGUGGAGAACCUGCCGUAUACUGGGGGAUAACACUUAGAAAUAGGUGCUAAUACCGCAUAAGCGCACAGCUUCGCAUGAAGCAGUGUGAAAAACUCCGGUGGUAUACGAUGGAUCCGCGUCUGAUUAGCUGGUUGGCGGGGUAAAGGCCCACCAAGGCGACGAUCAGUAGCCGGCCUGAGAGGGUGAACGGCCACAUUGGGACUGAGACACGGCCCAAACUCCUACGGGAGGCAGCAGUGGGGAAUAUUGCACAAUGGGGGAAACCCUGAUGCAGCGACGCCGCGUGAGUGAAGAAGUAUUUCGGUACGUAAAGCUCUAUCAGCAGGGAAGAAAAUGACGGUACCUGACUAAGAAGCCCCGGCUAACUACGUGCCAGCAGCCGCGGUAAUACGUAGGGGGCAAGCGUUAUCCGGAUUUACUGGGUGUAAAGGGAGCGUAGACGGCAGCGCGAGUCUGGAGUGAAAUCCCAUGGCUUAACCAUGGAACUGCUUUGGAAACUGUGCAGCUGGAGUGCAGGAGAGGUAAGCGGAAUUCCUAGUGUAGCGGUGAAAUGCGUAGAUAUUAGGAGGAACACCAGUGGCGAAGGCGGCUUACUGGACUGUAACUGACGUUGAGGCUCGAAAGCGUGGGGAGCAAACAGGAUUAGAUACCCUGGUAGUCCACGCUGUANACGAUGAUUACUAGGUGUUGGGGGACCAAGGUCCUUCGGUGCCGUCGCA
rnacentral:rRNA from 1 species